UAUUAAUAGACUUGUAUAAAAUAAAACUAGGACUUACCCAAGUCACUUAUAAAGAGGUGUGAAAUUACAUCAUUGUUGCACGUGCUAGUUUUGGCUAAUGUUGCUCGCAUUUAAGAUAGCACAGGCCAGGCUGUGGAAGGCAUCCAGUCUGAGGAGAAAACAAUAAGCAAGCUAGCAGGUGUGUGUAAGCAAGCUAGCAAGGGUAGCAUAGCAGUGUCAUUGAGGGGGGCCACCUAAUCCUGAGAGAAGUGUAACCCGCCCUGCUUCACACUGCCCGCUGCGGGGCUCAAACACAGGACCUUCGCAAUGGGAGACGAGAGCGCUGACCACACGGCCAAAAGCCCGGACUGUCGACCGCGCGUUCUGCGCAGAUCUUAAGGCAGAGGUAGUGAGGUUUUACUAAAGUACACUUGCGCAGCCUCACAGGCUGGCAUCCGUUACGGAAGCAUUAAAAUAUCUCCAGUAGUAUCAGAAUAGUGUUCUAUUACUCAGUCAAUCGCAGGGCACAUAUAGACAAACGAUCAUUCACACUCACAUUCAUACCUAUGGACAAUUUAGAGUCGCCAAUUAAUCUAACAUGCAUGUUUUGGAAUGUGGGAGGAAGCAGGCUUGAAAUGUACAAAAUUCUCCACUAGGUGGGGCGACUGCAGUAUAAUUGUGCCUUGUGUUGUGGAAUGUACUGUAAGUGAGAAGUUUAUCUAACCACAGCUUUCUAAUUUAUGGCAAAUUUUGGCUGAGGAAGUGUCGAGCUGGCAGAUGGAAUUUGGGCAAAAGGUAGAUACCGUGGUUUCGGGAGGCACAUUGAAGAUCCUGAAUCUGAAUUUUAGAUUAAUUCUAAGCCUAAUUUUCAGUAUCUAAUAUUGGGAAAAAAAGCAAACUAGUAAUGUUUAUUAAUUCAUUUUAGUUCCUAGUCGUGUUUGACAUGCUUCACGUGUGUACAAGAUGAGUUGUAUGGAACAUGAUGAAUGUAUGCAUUGUCCUGCUAAGGUCAUAUACUGUUAUCGAGAAAGGCAUUUACCAGUCCGGCCUGCUGCCACUGAGUAUAAAUUGAUCAAAGACAGUACAUAUAUGGUAACCCGUGAGGGGUUAUAUGUCGAUUUAGUUUCUAUUUCGACCAGCGUGUCUUGCUUCAGUACUUGGCAGACACAAGUGUGUAUUGAAUUCUGCAUGUGCUGUUCACAUGUUUUACUCAGUGGGUCAGAGUUAAUUAAUGCGUCUGCUUGCCCACACGGGUGAAACAUGAUUCUAACAAGGUCUGAAAAGGCGAGUUCAGCUGACUGUUAGUGUUGUGGGAUAGCUUAAAUUUCCAAGCGUAAUUCUUCCAUGACUGUAUCAGUUAGCACAGCACUGGUGCUGACAGUUGCAGUGUUAUUGGUUUGCAGCAGAGUCUUGCCUUACAUUCAAGAUUAUUUUUUUUUAGAUUCUCCCUUGGCAACCUUCGUUCAGAACCUUCACAAAUGGCAUUGGCUUCUUGAUAUUUGCUUAGA